GGAAGGGAGAGAUGAGGGGAGGUAUGUUCAGCUGGGAGACUGAAGAAGACAGGAUCAGUGAUGACCUCCACCAUGGCUUGGUCCCCUCUCCUCCUCACCCUCCUCACUCACUGCACAGGGUCCUGGGCCCAGUCUGUGCUGACUCAGCCAGCCUCAGUGUCUGGGUCCCUGGGCCAGAGGGUCACCAUCUCCUGCACUGGAAUCCCCAGCAACACAGAUUUUGAUGGAAUAGAAUUUGAUACUUCUGUGAGCUGGUACCAACAGCUCCCAGAAAAGCCCCCUAAAACCAUCAUCUAUGGUAGUACUCUUUCAUUCUCGGGGGUCCCCGAUCGAUUCUCUGGCUCCAGGUCUGGCAGCACAGCCACCCUGACCAUCUCUGGGCUCCAGGCUGAGGACGAGGCUGAUUAUUACUGCUCAUCCUGGGAUGAUAGUCUCAAAUCAUACACGAUGCUCCAGGACUGUGGGGAAGUGAGACAAAAGCUACUUACUCAUCUGCAAAGAGGGGGACACACCAGCAGUUCCUCCUCAGCAUAGCCUGUGAUUGUGCUUAUUCUUUGGCUGAUGUCUUGGGUUCAGGUCCAUCCUCGGGCCCUGCCUGAGAUGAGGCUCCUCCUGCCCCUUCUGUCCUCAGUGUCACUGAGAGCAGUGCAUUCCUGGAUGAAGAGUCUUCCUGUAAAC